AAAGCAAGAUAGAGGCUUCCUCAGCUUUUGGAUCGACAAUCGACAGCUGAGAGACUAUUUUUUGCUAUGGUUGACUAAAUAUGGUCAGGGAAGAGAGAGGCACAAGAGAGCCUGUUUGCCUGGGAGUGCAUGUUUCAAAUGCUUAGCUGCCUAUAAAGCUGUAACAGUUUAGCCUGUGGCCACUGAGAGAAGAAUAUAAGUUAACCUCUGUAGUGACCAUGUGGAAGUCCUGACCUUGCCUGCAGACUUGACCUCUGGAUAUGACAAGGUGAGGUUCUGUGUUCACUGAUCCGGCCCCCUUGCUUCCUUCGGCUUAUGAAAAGAAGUGCUGAAUCAGCGAACAGAAUGAAGGAACCUCAAGAGGAGAUGGCUGCUGCUGCUGUGGCUCUCUAGGUCAUUAUCUCUCUUCCUCCUGCAAAUGCUGCAUGGCACUAAGCUUACAGGAUCUAGAAGCAAACUACAAAAUAAGAAGAAAUUCACUCUGAAGACUAUGAAGAAACACUAGACUGAUUUUACCAAUUUCUGAAAUAAUACUCUGUAAAGACUCCACUGAUUCUAUGAAUCUCUUGCAAAAACAACCAGACCAGGACAAAGUUCAACAGAUAACUGGUUAGUGUUUAGAAGUAUCUAUGCCCACCGAGAACAAGGAGCCAUAAAUGGCACUAAUGCCAUGCUUCAGUUAUUGUUAUACCACGAGGAAACAUCAAGAUCUGCUUUGAAAUCCAGAAUCUACAUUGAUCUGAAGUUUUGAAAUCUAUAUUUCAAAGUAUAUUCUUCAAAAAUAUUGGACAUCUAAACGUAUUUUUUAUAACCAGGGAUAUUAUAUUUUCUUUUUAAAAAG